rnacentral:lncRNA from 1 species
UAAUGAAAUUAGAAUCUUGAUUAUCGUUAUUGCAUUAAUGUUAAUGUGGUGAAGGUGAUGGUAGCAUAUCUCAAAGAAACAACAGACAAUGAAAUUUGGACCGUAUACACCAAGGAAAAGAUAAGGGUAUCAUGUUCCAUGGUUCUAAUUUGAUGGGACUCAGAAAAGAGAAUUGCAUUUGUCUUUGAAAAAAUGCUGUUUAUUACCAGCUGGAAUGCAUGCAACAAUCAUUAGGUUCACAUACUUGACAUAGAAACCAGUACAGAAAGGAAACACUAAACUGACUCAAAGAAUCCUAUGAGUAGAGACCAGCUCAACCACAGGAAAGAAACUAGGAAGGAGAAACAACAGAUGAGUGAUGAUGGAAGAAAUGAGGCAGCGGUGGUCUCCAGUGACCUUAAUUAGUACCACCAAGAACAGCCUUAAGCUUCUUCACCACAGCUGCGUCAAGGAAAGUGGUCUGCACCACCAGUUCAGUUGGCAAAUCGUUUGCAAACAGAGCGUAAUCAAGGAUCUGGAGACCAGGCUGUGGGCUGCUGAAGCUAACAAAGGCGGUGGAUGGUAUCCCAGCCCCAUUCACUUGAAAAUGCAGUAGUCCUUGAGGAAAAAUCAUAAUGUCACCCUUCUUAAGAGUUUUGAAGUAGACGGUAUUGGCUGAGGAAAUGAACCCAGCACAGAUUGCCCCCUGCGUAACAAGCAGGACUUCUGAACCUCCAGGGUGUGUGUGCAUUGGCACAACCCCUCCUACAGCCAGGUCCAGGCGUGCUAUGGACAAGCCAAGACCGUUCAAGCCAGGAAACUGAGGAGCAAAAGCCGGAGUCACAGCAGCUUUGAUAAGAUUUGAGGUGUUCCCUGCCAUGCCUAGGCCGGAGAAAACAAAAUCAUCAACAGUAACCUUUGCAGGCUUCUUGCAAGAGUAGCCUGCAGGCCCCUCUGGGGCUGCAAGGUCCCCGACGCAGAAGUCCUGCACUGCAG